GACGAACGCUGGCGGCGUGCUUAACACAUGCAAGUCGAACGGAAAGGCCCUGCUUUUGUGGGGUGCUCGAGUGGCGAACGGGUGAGUAACACGUGAGUAACCUGCCCUUGACUUUGGGAUAACUUCAGGAAACUGGGGCUAAUACCGGAUAGGAGCUCCUGCUGCAUGGUGGGGGUUGGAAAGUUUCGGCGGUUGGGGAUGGACUCGCGGCUUAUCAGCUUGUUGGUGGGGUAGUGGCUUACCAAGGCUUUGAAGGGUAGCCGGCCUGGUAGGGUGACCUGCCACAUUGGGACGGAGAUACGGCCCAGACUCCUACGGGAGGCAGCAGUGGGGAAGAUUGCACAAUGGGCGGAAGCCUGAUGCAGCAACGCCGCGUGCGGGAUGACGGCCUUCGGUUUGUAUACCGCUUUCGCCUGUGACGAAGCGUGAGUGACGGUAAUGGGUAAAGAAGCACCGGCUAACUACGUG
rnacentral:rRNA from 1 species